CUAAGCUUCAUCACGCUCACGCGCACGCGCACGCGCUGCAGCACGCUUCCCUUUCGUCUUCACUUCCUCUCUCUCGUCUGAUCAGCCCUCCCCGCCGCAGAAUUCAGAAAUCCAAACCCCACAAAUCCCCAAUGCUGGUGGUACCGCUGUUGCUGGUGUCCCUUACUGUUGCGGCGGGUCGGCGGCGAUAAGCACCGGCGGAGAGAUGGAGGCGCCGGCCAUCGUCGUCGGAGCGGCGCUGGGAAUCCGCCCACCGCCUCGUCCUCUCCGGCGUUCCUCGCGUGUCGUUGUGGAUCGACUCGCGUCCUGCUGCUCCAGGGAGGGGAGAGGCGAUGGUCGCAGCAAGCCCCAUCGCGAGGGCUCCAAUUCCGUCCGGCUGAGCGUGAAAGCAAACAAUGACCAGGAAACUUAUUUGACUGAUGAACAACGCAAGGAAAUCGACAUAUGGGAGCUAUUCAGUGAGGCUCAGCGAAAUAUCCUAUACCUUAACAAGCAGCGGCUUGUGGCCAUGGAAGAGCUGAAGAAACUGCAGGAUGAAAAUGAAUCUCUUCUGCAGGACAUAGAAGUACUUGAAACAGAAAUGAAAGGUAUUUCCACGGAAACAGCAGAAUCAUCAAUCUUUUGCGAGUUGCUUUUGCGGAUUGAUACAAUGGCCGUUUCUGGUAUGGUUGGCAUGGCAGAAGCGUCUGAUUUAAGGAAGAAAGUUUUUGACAACCGAUACAUGAUAAGUAGCAUCUUUUGUGAUACUCAUCAUAUGCAAGAUACUGAACUACUGUCAGAAUUGCGACUCUUUCUGCGUAAACCAGUAGAGAAACCUCUACACGUUGUGCACAUCUGCAGUGAAAUGGAUCCAAUAGCAUCAUGUGGAUCAUUAGCAACCUAUGUUACUGGAUUAUCUUCCGCACUUAAAAGAAAGGGUAACUUGGUGGAGGUCAUACUGCCCAAGUAUGCUGGCAUAAAUGAAGAUGGAAUUCAUUGUCUGAGGAAAGCUGAAGCAGACUAUGAAUCUUAUUUUGGUGGUCAUUGGCAUAAAAACAGAAUAUGGACAGGUAUAUCAAGUGGUGUUAGUCUUACACUCAUAGAACCGGUGAAACUCUCAUAUUUUGAUCGCGAUAUGAUACGUGGUUACCCCGAUGACUUUGAGCGAUUUUCCUAUUUUGCCCGUGCAUCAUUGGAUUAUAUUGUAAAAUCUGGAAAGCAGCCAGACGUUUUGCAUGUACAUAACUGGGAAACUUCUAUAGUGGGGCCGCUUUUCUGGGAUUUAUUUGCUCACCAGGGACUUGGGAACACUCGGAUAGUACUGACAUGUCAAGACUUGAAUUCACAAUGCCUAGAGGAUCCAAAUAAGCUGGAACUUUGCGGACUUGAUCCUCAGAUACUUCAUCGCCCUGAUCGUCUGCAGGACAAUAGCAAGACAAGUCUUGUCAAUGUUCUAAAGGGAGGGAUUGUUUACUCAAAUAAAGUUUUGUUAAUGUCCUCAACCCACCCAAGAGCUGUGGUUAUCCAAGGCUUAGGACAUGGGUUGGAAGCAACAUUAACUACACACAAGGAUAAGGUGUUGGUUGCUUCCCAAUGGUUGGAUGGCGAACAUUGGGAUCCAUCCAAAGACAUCUAUCUUCCUCAUCGGUAUUCUGCAAAUCACAUUGAAGGAAAAUCCUUUUGCAGAAAGGCACUUAAGCGACGCCUUGGAUUCCAUAUUGAUUCUUCCAUUGUUGUUGGGUGUGUCUACGAUGGUUAUUCAAAUAUUGAUGAUCUUAGGGAAGCUGUUCAUGUUGCUCUGGAUGGAGGUGCUCAGGUUGUCUUGAUGGAAUGCAAAGGGCCUGCGAUGAGCUCAACUGUGCAGGCAUUAAAAGAACUGAAGGGAGACAGAGUAAUGUUUAUUGAGACAUACGAUGAGGCCCUGGAACAUUUGAUAUUUGCAGGCUCUGAUAUAUUUAUGUGUUCUUCCUUUCAUGACCCAUCACUGCAAAUAGCGAUAAGGGCAAUAAAAUAUGGAUCUGCACCAGUACAGAUAAACUUUCCCAGCAAUGGAUCCAGGCAAACUGAGUGGCAUGACAACCCCAGCACAGCUCUCUCUCAGUACAUCAUCUCAACAUAUGGGGGCAUGUCCCUUCCUCAAGCUCUUGACGACAUUAAUAAAACCCCUUCUCAGUGGGAUUGGCGUAUUAAGAAUGGGAUGUCAAAAGUUUUAUCAUGGGAUGCUGAGUGCUAUGACCUACAUUGGGAGGCUUAUUCUGCUGUUAGGAAGCUGUGAAUGAUUCAUUUCUCUGGCGACUUCAUGGUACAUCAGCUCGCUAAAUACAAUAUUUGCCCAUAAACAAUCCUGUCGACUUCUUGUAACUGAACAGAGAACAGAGGGACAACAAUAUUUGUAUUCCUGAGGGUGCUUUGGUCUUUUGGAGAAAGCAUAGGGACGGUUAGUACCGACGCAUGGUCAAGGUAACAAUCUGUCCAUUUUAUUUCUACACCCAAACCAGGUCAUACCGAAUGGUACAAAUACUAGGAUCAGCAAACUGGAUCUUCUGGGUCAGUCAUCCUGGUGUCUGAACUUGUGAUCCACAUUUCUCUGUUCAAUACCAAGCAAGCUCUCCUUAGCAUCACCUUUAUACGGAUUGCCAUCACCUUUAUGGGUGUUGCUGGUUCCUUAACAUCUCCAGCCUACCAGAGCAAGUAUAAUAGCAAGCUUGCGCCAACUAUAAGCCUACGGGAAAGAGAGAAUGAAAAUUGAAGAGUGUUGGCUCUCAUGCAAAAACUGGUUCUACACAUAUUCCAAGAAUAUUAAAUACAUAAGAGAAAGAGAUAGGAGAAAAUAACAAAAUCAAUCUUAUUUUUAAGAUAAUGAAAGUUUUAUUAAACUUGAUCAAUUACAUCAAGUGAUACACUUGAUACAAUUGUUCUGAGAAUACUCUUGGCCUCUCAUAGCUAAGAUGCACAUAGCCAAACUCAUGGGUUCAAUGUGGGUUUAUAACUAAUUGACUCUACUUUUAAACCUGCUCUUGGUGACUUUGAUCGUGAGCCUUUCAUCUCUACUAUUAAACUUCUGUUGCCAUCUUCUUCACAUGGCUGCCAACAAGAUCCUCAUGGCGUCCUUCUCUCACCGCUGUCAUGAAGCAUGACACAAGAGCAAACUCCUCUCUUCCUCCAGUCCAUCAAAGUAGAGCACAUUCUUGAAGCACUAGCAAGAUGACACCGAAGCUAUACACAUGGUUCUUAUCGGUCAGUUGAUAUGCCAUGAGGUACUCAGAGUCUAAGUACCCACAAGUUCCCUGCACUAGAGUUGUAAUCUCGAACUCAUCAUUUGGCACUACUUUUGAUGUCCCAUAAUCUAAAACUUUUGUGAUGAGCUUGUUGACGAGGAGGAUAUUUGCCGUCUUGAUGUCACCGUGGAGGAUGUGAUUGGAAGAAAUUCUAAAACUAUAGAAAUAAAAUCCUAACAACGAUAAGAUUCAAUUUUUUAAGGUGCCAAUGAUAAGAAAGUGGAGGGACAAUGGACAAAACGCUGACAAUGGGAACAAAGAGGAGGGACAACUAGCAUGCGAGCAAAGGGGCAUCAAUUGAGUACAAAUGUGGUGGUGCGUAGGAUAUUUAAAAGCUAUAAAAACAGAACCUGGACAAUGAUAAGGUUUGGUCUUUUAGGUUCCGAUGAGAACCAAGGGAUAGUAGAGCGAGCAAAGGGGCAUCUUAUGAGUAGGGAUAGGGAUGUGGUGG